UACAGAGGUCUCAAGCGUUGUUCGGAUUCAUUGGGCGUAAAGGGUGCGUAGGCGGCGCGGUAAGUCGGGUGUGAAAUCUCGGAGCUUAACUCCGAAACUGCAUUCGAUACUGCUGUGCUUGAGGACUGGAGAGGAGACUGGAAUUUACGGUGUAGCGGUGAAAUGCGUAGAUAUCGUAAGGAAGACCAGUGGCGAAGGCGGGUCUCUGGACAGUUCCUGACGCUGAGGCACGAAGGUCAGGGGGAGCAAAACGGGG
rnacentral:rRNA from 1 species